UAAGCAUGUGCAUUCAUAUACAUGACAAAGAUGCCCAUGUCUAGAUGAUAUUAUUAAGCUUAUAAUCAAUUUGGAUACUGUAACUUUGAGAGAAGCUCACACGAAAGGCUUGACGAAUCUAUUUAAUUCAUUAAAAUCUCAAGCAAGAAUUUCUUUUAAAUACAUCUUCAUGCAUGAAAAUGUUACCAAAAUCAAGUUCACAUGCCUUGCGAGAAUUCAUAACUAAUCUAGAAAGCUAUGGAAUUUGGUUACUUGAGAAGUUGAAAGCAUUGCUCCUUUAAACUAUGUGGUUACAUGUCAACUCUACUCUAACCCAUAUUUUUAUAUCAUUGGACACAUACUCAUGUUCAAAUAUAUCUCACUGUUAUCACAAAGUACCUGCAUAUAAAAUACGAAAUUGGAACCAGCAUGGAGCAAAAAUUGACUUCUUAACACUUGUAGAUCUCCUUCCCCAAGCUCUUAUCCUGGCCCUUUGGGAUGGUUUCAUCUAAAUGAAGCCAUGCAUAGGUAACUUAUAUUUUAAUGGGUCGUAUUGCCAUGUCAACUCCCAUUUAAUUACCUGCUAGCAAAAGUUGUUCUGAACCGAGUCAGUAAUUAGCUUUUUAUGCAUAGUGAAUUAACUAAAUAGUAUAUAAUACAUAAGAUAUUGUUCAAUAAUUAUGACUAGUAGAAGUAAUAUAGAUUUGGAGUUGCUAAAUGAUAGUAUAUUUAUGUUAUAGAACAACUGGAAAAAAAAGGAAUAAAAGCUCUUUCAGUUGUUUCAGGUUUAUUGUCAAACACUUUUGUUGCAUCAAAGUUCUUCCAUUUUUGUUACUACUAUUUAUUCUUGAUGACAAUUCAGUGCUUCCGUAGAAGAGUUCUAAAAAAUAACUACAUACAUGAAGAAAGAGAAGAAGCAAACAAAUAUCCAAAAUCACAUACUCUGUAGGAGUAUUAAAAAGAAAAACAAAGCGAAAUGCAAAGACACUUUCAGAGAGCGAGUGAAAAUUGUAAAUCAAUAAUCUUAUCAAAAAUAGAAUCGAACAUCUAAAUGCUCAUCAAGAAGAAAAAGAGAAGAAAAUCAGCAAAUCCACAUACAAAGGGAAACCACAAUAGAAAUUUUGAAAUGAAUCAAGAAUCCAUGGCCAAGAGACAAAAACACACAGGAUGACUGAAACUUAUUUUUUUCCCUUACAAAUCUUCUUCCAUAUGCGGAUAGCUUUGCACCGCAAUCAAAUGAAAUUUUGCGAAAUAUGGAGGAAAAAUGAAUCAUCAACCCUCUUAUCUGAAAACUUAAGAAUGUCCUGAAAGAGAACAAGUGAAAGAAGAAAGCUGCUCAUGACACCUAUAGCACUCAUGUCUGCCAUUAAAGCAGUAUACAUACUUCGAAUGAAGAUCAAAUAUGAAAUUACUCCUAAAAUAAUUCAUAAUUUCGAGAAUACAACCUAUUUCACCCUUAAUCGGAACCUUUAAAGAACAAAAUUUUUCCACUAAACACCCCAAUUUACACAAUCAAGAUCAGAAACAAAGAGCAUGCACUAAGGCAUUUCUUUUUCUGACAACGCUAGUAUAUGUGGUACAAUGCACCUAGAUAUUUCUUUCCAGAGAUGCAUAUCAAAAUGAGAUAGAAAAUCUAGCAAGAAAUUAUUCAAAAGAAUAGAGAAACCAACAUCGAACAAAAAUAGACAAAACUUCAAAGAAAUCCAGAACACAACACAAGGAGAAAAAAAAUCGGGGAAAAAACUUAUAAAACUUAAUAAACACAAUAGACGCUAGAAAAUUGAGGCAAACAACAUGAAAAAUCACAAAAAGACAGAAUUCAUGUAAGAAAUAUGAACAUAGACAGAGGAAAAAUCUCAUACUCAAAGGAUCCAAAGAAGCCCAGACGAAUUGUAAAACUCAUUGAACUUGCAGAGUGUGCGAAGGAGAGAGAAUUAGAGGAGUUGUAAUAUGUUUGCACUCUGC
rnacentral:lncRNA from 1 species